GCUAAGCCGUAGUCCUGAUAGUUUUCACAAUAUGACCAUUUGUUUGCAACUAACGCCGUCCAUUGACAUUCAUUGAAACUUCACUCUGCAAAGCUCACAUUUGAAGGGCAAUUUCUAAACUGCGACUGUGCCUUCAUUUUUAAUACUUCAGAGACAUACUAUGCAUCAAAAUGUAGGUCUGGGUCUUGUGAUUCUCACAAUAUAAAGCUCUUCACUGUAGGAUUUAUAGUUUUUAAGAUACGACCGUUUGAAGAUGGC